UAACAUGAUGCCAAACACUUUACCAACUGA
rnacentral:piRNA from 1 species